CAGAGGGACAGAGAGACAAUCAGACACAGAGAGACAGAAAGACAGAGAGAUGGAGGGGACAGAGACAGAGGGACAGAGAGACAGAGACCGGAUGAGAGACACUAUUUCUCAAUUUUCAGUUAAAUUUUACAGUUUAGAUGAUUUAGUUCAUUUUAUUUGCUUAUUUUCUAGUUGAUUUAUAAUUAGAAUGUUUAUGUAAUUUUAAAUACAUUCUUUGGUUAAUAAUUUACUAAAUGAGUUAAUUAAUUUCAGUUUGGACGUGUUUCAUAGUAUAAAUAUGUAGGUUUAGAUACGUCUUCAGGUUUUUUAUUGUCACUAGAGAGAGAACAGGUGGAGGAGUCAGAGCUGAAUCCUGUAACUUAUUACUUUAUCUGGAAAAUGGAAUAAAACAAACAAAGAGACACAUUUCGACAUUUUUUACCCUUUGUUGGACCAACACAGUGCUCUAUAUGUCAGGGUUUCUGUGUGAGUGCAUGUGUGUGAGUGCGAGUGUCACAUCUCGUCCAGAGAGGAUCUUGGUGAGGAGCCGGAGGAGUCUGCACAGGUGGAAGUCAUCUGCCUCAUCAGAGCGGGGGAUUUAGGAGCAGCAGAUCCUUCCUUCAGUGCUAGAUGAUUACGUUCAUCGGGUUUUUGUCUCUCCGCUCGUGAGUUCUCCUGCGAGCACCAGCCUGCCUGCUCCGUUGCUCUCCCCGCCGCAGCUUCACUCCUGCAAGCCUCCGGUUCUCCGAACACCCCCUCCUCGCACUCACCUUCGGACCGCCGAACUACCCUCCACUCAGAAUCCUGGCACCUCCCCCAUGCUACAGCAAACCACCGUGAAGCCCACCUGGUCGAGUCAUUCUCACCCCCUCACUGAAGUCCUGCGGAUUGAUAUAUUGUGUGUCCUGUUGAAAAAUAAAUACUCAUUAUUUUCUAAGAGACGUGUGGUUUCUGCAUGUGGGUCUGAAGCUAAAACCCAACAUGUCACUAUAGUGACUAUUGGAGUUUAUUUCAU